rnacentral:rRNA from 1 species
AACGAACGCUGGCGGCGCGUCUUAAACAUGCAAGUCGAACGGCAGGAAGGGGCUUGCCCCUUCUGAGAGUGGCGGACUGGUGAGUAACACGUGGGUGACAUACCUUUUAGUUGGGGAUAGCUAUUAGAAAUAGUAGGUAAUACCGAAUGUGACCGUACCUGUUAGAGGGGUACGAGGAAAGGAGCUAAGGCUUCGCUAAAAGAAUGGCUCGCGGCCCAUUAUGCUCGUUGGUGAGGUAACGGCCCACCAAGGCGAUGAUGGGUAUCCGGCCUGAGAGGGUGAACGGACACAUUGGGACUGAGAUACGGCCCAGACUUCUACGGGAGGCAGCAGUUAAGAAUAUUCCGCAAUGGACGAAAGUCUGACGGAGCGACGCCGCGUGGAUGAAGAAUGCCGAAAGGUUGUAAAAUCCUUUUAAGCCUGAUGAAUAAGCACAGUAGGGAAUGAUUGUGAGGUGACCGUAGGGCUUGAAUAAGCACCGGCUAAUUACGUG